rnacentral:rRNA from 1 species
GACAGAGGUUGCAAACGUUGUUCGGAAUCACUGGGCAUAAAGCGCACGUAGGCGGCUGACUAAGUCAGAUGUGAAAUCCCCCGGCUCAACCGAGGAACUGCGUCUGAUACUGGUCGGCUUGAGAACGGUAGGGGUGAGCGGAACUCCAGGUGGAGCGGUGAAAUGCGUAGAUAUCUGGAGGAACACCGGUGGCGAAAGCGGCUCACUGGACCGUCACUGACGCUGAGGUGCGAAAGCUAGGGUAGCAAACGGG